rnacentral:rRNA from 1 species
UGGGGAAUCUUCCGCAAUGGACGAAAGUCUGACGGAGCAACGCCGCGUGAGUGAUGACGGCCUUCGGGUUGUAAAGCUCUGUUAAUCGGGACGAAUGGUUCUUGUGCGAAUAGUGCAAGGAUUUGACGGUACCGGAAUAGAAAGCCACGGCUAACUACGUGCCAGCAGCCGCGGUAAUACGUAGGUGGCAAGCGUUGUCCGGAAUUAUUGGGCGUAAAGCGCGCGCAGGCGGAUUGGUCAGUCUGUUUUAAAAGUUCGGGGCUUAACCCCGUGAUGGGAUGGAAACUGCCAAUCUAGAGUAUCGGAGAGGAAAGUGGAAUUCCUAGUGUAGCGGUGAAAUGCGUAGAUAUUAGGAAGAACACCAGUGGCGAAGGCGACUUUCUGGACGAAAACUGACGCUGAGGCGCGAAAGCCAGGGGAGCGAACGGG